UACGAAGGGUGCAAGCGUUACUCGGAAUUACUGGGCGUAAAGCGUGCGUAGGUGGUUUGUUAAGUCUGUUGUGAAAGCCCCGGGCUCAACCUGAGAUGGCAAUGGAUACUGGCAGGCUAGAGUGCGGUAGAGGGUAGUGGAAUUCCCGGUGUAGCGGUGAAAUGCGUAGAGAUCGGGAGGAACACCAGUGGCGAAGGCGGCUACCUGGACCAGCACUGACACUGAGGCACGAAAGCGUGGGGAGCAAACAGG
rnacentral:rRNA from 1 species